AACGAACGCUGGCGGCAUGCCUAACACAUGCAAGUCGAACGAGACCUUCGGGUCUAGUGGCGCACGGGUGCGUAACGCGUGGGAACCUGCCCUUAGGUUCGAAAUAACUCCCCGAAAGGGGUGCUAAUACCGGAUAAUGUCUUCGGACCAAAGAUUUAUCGCCUUUGGAUGGGCCCGCGUUGGAUUAGCUAGUUGGUAGGGUAAAAGCCUACCAAGGCGACGAUCCAUAGCUGGUCUGAGAGGAUGAUCAGCCACACUGGGACUGAGACACGGCCCAGACUCCUACGGGAGGCAGCAGUGGGGAAUAUUGGACAAUGGGCGAAAGCCUGAUCCAGCAAGGCCGCGUGAGUGAUGAAGGCCUUAGGGUUGUAAAGCUCUUUUACCCGGGAUGAUAAUGACAGUACCGGGAGAAUAAGCUCCGGCUAACUCCGU
rnacentral:rRNA from 1 species